UAGGGAAUCUUCGGCAAUGGACGAAAGUCUGACCGAGCAACGCCGCGUGAGUGAAGAAGGUUUUCGGAUCGUAAAACUCUGUUGUUAGAGAAGAACAAGGACGUUAGUAACUGAACGUCCCCUGACGGUAUCUAACCAGAAAGCCACGGCUAACUACGUGCCAGCAGCCGCGGUAAUACGUAGGUGGCAAGCGUUGUCCGGAUUUAUUGGGCGUAAAGCGAGCGCAGGCGGUUUCUUAAGUCUGAUGUGAAAGCCCCCGGCUCAACCGGGGAGGGUCAUUGGAAACUGGGGGACUUGAGUGCAGAAGAUGAGAGUGGAAUUCCAUGUGUAGCGAUGAAAUGCGUAGAUAUAUGGAGGAACACCAGUGGCGAAGGCGGCUCUCUGGUCUGUAUCUGACGCUGAGGCUCGAAAGCGUGGGGAGCAAACAGG
rnacentral:rRNA from 1 species